ACAAAAUGAAGAUGAAGAUGAAAUUAAUUAUCUUGACAUUAAAAUAAAAAUAAUUAGAGGAGAGUAUAGUCUCAGUGUAUAUAGGAAAAAUACCUACGUCCCACUGUUUUAGUUCUAUGUCAGAGGAACCGUGGUCCUUUAAAAUAGCCUCGUUUCAAGCGCUUUUGCAAAGAAUUAGCACCCACUGUACAACAGUAGCGGUGGUUAAUGAAGAAUUAGAUUGGAUUACAGAGCAAGCGAUUAAACAUGGUUAUAAAGAAAAUCUUAUUACCAAUUUAUGGAAUAAAAUUAAUAAGAAGCCAGCUAAAAACGUGAAAAAUAGAAAUGAAAAUAAAACUUAUAAAAUAGAUAUUAAUCCAGUUACCCUUAGAUAUAGAAAGAAAAUCGA
rnacentral:lncRNA from 1 species